rnacentral:rRNA from 1 species
ACCUACGGGGGGCAGCAGUAGGGAAUUUUCGUCAAUGGGCGCAAGCCUGAACGAGCAAUGCCGCGUGAACGAGGAAGGUCUUCGGAUCGUAAAGUUCUGUUGAAGGAGAAAAAGAGCGGAGAGAGGAAAUGGUCUCCGAUUGAUAUUACCCUUCGAGGAAGUCACGGCUAACUACGUGCCAGCAGCCGCGGUAAUACGUAGGUGGCGAGCGUUAUCCGGAAUGAUUGGGCGUAAAGGGUGCGUAGGCGGCCUGCUAAGUCUGGAGUGAAAGGUACCGGCUCAACCGGUACAGGCUCUGGAAACUG